rnacentral:rRNA from 1 species
UACGGAGGGGGCAAGCGUUGUUCGGAAUUACUGGGCGUAAAGGGCGCGCAGGCGGCUGCUCAAGUCAGGCGUGAAAGGCCUGGGCUCAACCCGGGAAUUGCGCUUGAGACUGGGCUGGCUUGAGUGCGGGAGAGGAUGGUGGAAUUCCCAGUGUAGAGGUGAAAUUCGUAGAUAUCGGGAAGAACACCCGUGGCGAAGGCGGUUCUCUGGGACGGUACUGACGCUGAGACGCGAAAGCGUGGGGAGCAAACAGG